GUUGACCUCGGAUCAGGUAGGAAUACCCGCUGAACUUAAGCAUAUCAAUAAGCGGAGGAAAAGAAACCAACAGGGAUUGCCCCAGUAACGGCGAGUGAAGCGGCAACAGCUCAAAUUUGAAAUCUGGCCCUAGGCCCGAGUUGUAAUUUGCAGAGGAUGCUUUUGGCGCGGUGCCUUCCGAGUUCCCUGGAACGGGACGCCAUAGAGGGUGAGAGCCCCGUACGGUUGGACACCAAGUCUUUGUAAAGCUCCUUCGACGAGUCGAGUAGUUUGGGAAUGCUGCUCAAAAUGGGAGGUAUAUUUCUUCUAAAGCUAAAUAUUGGCCAGAGACCGAUAGCGCACAAGUAGAGUGAUCGAAAGAUGAAAAGCACUUUGAAAAGAGGGUUAAACAGCACGUGAAAUUGUUAAAAGGGAAGCGCUUGUGACCAGACUUGCGUCCGGUGAAUCACCCAGCUCUCGCGGCUGGGGCAUUUUGCCGGCUCAGGCCAGCAUCAGCUUGCCGUCGGGGACAAAAGCUUCGGGAAAGUAGCUCUCUUCGGGGAGUGUUAUAGCCCGUUGCAUAAUACCCUUCGGUGGGCUGAGGUACGCGCUCCGCAAGGAUGCUGGCGUAAUGGUCAUCAGCGAC
rnacentral:rRNA from 1 species